rnacentral:lncRNA from 9 species
GCCGUGUAGACCUGAGGGAGGUGAGAGGCGCGGGUAAGCUCCCCGCGUCUCUUUUCCAACCGGAUGUUCGGAAGCCCAGAGGAGUCUUCGCACUCUCUGUGGCUCUUGAGACACGGCUCAAGACUCCUCCAGACUCCUUUCAGGGCCCUUAAUGCACCUGACUUGUUUGAGCUCCAAAUGGGACCCAGUGACAGCCCGUGCUUCAGCCCCUCGAGGAGAGAGAUCACGGAACAAAUACCCAGUGCCUUUGGAGCUGCUCCCCACUGUGUCUUAUGUCAACCUUUUUGUUUUUGAAUAUCCGGCAGACGGGACGUUUCAUGAAAUGGAGUGGGAGAAAGAAGGUAGAUAGGACUGUCUGCUAAGCUUUUCCAACAGCAGUUGUCAUUUUUCUCCGUGAAAAGUAAAACUUCUGACUUUGAACAACCAGCCUCAGACAUUUAGGGGUGUGGUGGCCAUGCCCAUGCAUCCUAUUUCCUCUCAAGCCAUGUGCAAAAUUCGCAAAGACUUUUGUGUUUGAGAGCUUUCACCUAGUGUCCUCUUGAGUCAGAACACAUCUGGUAUGUUUGUGUUGACCUUUCCAGGUCAUCUUUUUUGCUUUGGAUUAGUCAAAAUCAAAAACAGUCAAUAUGACUCAAAAAUGUGUUAAGUAAAUGUGUGGGGUGUGUGGGUCAUCACAGCCUCAUACCUGGAGCGGAG